rnacentral:rRNA from 1 species
AGAGUUUGAUCCUGGCUCAGGAUGAACGGUAGGUACAGGCUUAACACAUGCAAGUCGAGGGGAAACGACAUCGAAAGCUUGCUUUUGAUGGGCGUCGACCGGCGCACGGGUGAGUAACGCGUAUCCAACCUGCCCACCACUUGGGGAUAACCUUGCGAAAGUAAGACUAAUACCCGAUGAUAUCUCUAUAAGACAUCUGAAAGGGAUUAAAGAUUUAUCGGUGAUGGAUGGGGAUGCGUCUGAUUAGCUUGUUGGCGGGGUAACGGCCCACCAAGGCGACGAUCAGUAGGGGUUCUGAGAGGAAGGUCCCCCACAUUGGAACUGAGACACGGUCCAAACUCCUACGGGAGGCAGCAGUGAGGAAUAUUGGUCAAUGGGCGAGAGCCUGAACCAGCCAAGUAGCGUGCAGGACGACGGCCCUAUGGGUUGUAAACUGCUUUUAUAAGGGAAUAAAGUGAGUCUCGUGAGACUUUUUGCAUGUACCUUAUGAAUAAGGACCGGCUAACUCCGUGCCAGCAGCCGCGGUAAUACGGAAGGUCCGGGCGUUAUCCGGAUUUAUUGGGUUUAAAGGGAGCGUAGGCCGGAGAUUAAGCGUGUUGUGAAAUGUAGACGCUCAACGUCUGCACUGCAGCGCGAACUGGUUUCCUUGAGUACGCACAAAGUGGGCGGAAUUCGUGGUGUAGCGGUGAAAUGCUUAGAUAUCACGAAGAACUCCGAUUGCGAAGGCAGCUCACUGGAGCGCAACUGACGCUGAAGCUCGAAAGUGCGGGUAUCGAACAGGAUUAGAUACCCUGGUAGUCCGCACGGUAAACGAUGGAUGCCCGCUGUUGGUCUGAAUAGGUCAGCGGCCAAGCGAAAGCAUUAAGCAUCCCACCUGGGGAGUAC